UUUGGAGACGAAGAAGGCGGUUCGCUCUUUCACUCAUUCACGCUGUGAUUCUGUUUUCCAGGUGACUUGGCCAAAAGCUCCACUGAAGCAACAAAUGUGGGAGAGAGAAGCUCUAUGCAGACAGCAACAAGGGCAAAAAAAUUACAGAGGGUCCAGUGCUUGGUGUGUUUAGCUGAACUGAAGUAUCAUGUCAAUACUUCCUCCAUGAUUAGGCACUUCACUGACAAGCAUGGAGCUGCUGUUAACCAGGGGAACAUAAAUCAAGCAAGAGCUAGAUGAAGCUCUUGUGAAUAUGGUGGUGAAAGACUUGCAGCCUUUUUCCAACAUGGAUGACUGUGAUUUCAAGGAGUUUGUAGCAUUGCUUGAUCCCACAUACACUCUUCAAUCGAGACGGGCUCUAAAGAACAUGGUGGUCCAGAGAUACGAGGAGGAGAAGACCAAGGCCAAGGCUGUCAUGCAGAGGACAGAGGCUGUGAGCCUGUUAACUGAUAUGUGGACCUCCAUUAAUAUGGACGGAUAUCUAGCAGUGACCUGCCAUUAUGUGGAUGACUCUGUGAAGCUGGCCACAGUGCUUUUGGGAGUGCUGCCUUUCCCUGAAGCUCAUACAGCUGGUAACAUCACUGCUGCAACAAGGUCUCUCACUGAGGAAUGACUUUGAUUCCAUCUGGCACGAGGGCCUUUUCUAUAGGCUACUUGAAAGUGGUAUUAGAGGAAAAACAUAUGAUCUGAUUAAGAACAUGUAUACAAAAAGUGAAUGUGCCGUAAAGAUUGUUUUAGUUGUUUUUUAAUAUAUAUAUAUAUAUAUACAUAUACCUGGGGCCCGUAUCAGAAAGCAGGUUCAACAAACUCUGAGUUAAAACCUUAACUCUAGGUUGACCAACUCUGAGCUGUCAAACUCUGAGUUUUCAGUUUCAGAACGGGUGAAAACACUUCAAUCUACUCUGAGUCAAGGUAACCCUGAGUGAAGUCCAUGCAUGAGGAUAUAAACAGAUAACACAGAUAACAUGAUUCACCAUGGCAACAAGUGAUAAAAAGCCUCGAUCCUCCUACUUCUCCCCAGUGGAGUUGGAAAUAUUAUUCAAUUCAAUUCAAUUUUAUUUGUAUAGCGGCAAUUCAUAACAGAAGUUAUCUCAGGACACUUUUCAAAUAGAGCAGGUCUAGACUGAACUCUUUAUAACAUUUACAGAGACCCAACAGUACCACUACCAAUAUUAAUGACCGCAUAUGCAGAAAGUGAGCAUAUAUUUUUUAAAAAAGCAAUACUGUGGCAGCAGCAAAAGAGCGGGAGGUCGCGUGGCAGAAAAUUGCUGACGAGUCAAUGCGUGCAACCCAACAGGCACCGAACGGACUUGGCAGCAACUAAGGAUGAAAUAUAAAAAUUUAGUUCAAACAGCCAACAGAAAAAAGGCUGAGGUCCACAAAACAGGUGGCGGUCCACUACCACCACCUCUCACAGAGGCUGAAGAGAUGGCCCUCAGUCAGACCCAUUGCUGAGGGCAUCUCUGGGGGGAGCUCAUUGGACCCAGCCACGCCCCAGGACACAGGGGCCUACAUAAGAGUUACUGAUGGUGUAAUCUGUCUCGUGGAGCCUUCUGCCUUAACAGACCUCCAUGCUGUUGAGGAUGAUGAAGACACCUUAUCAGCUGCCACAGAGAGGGAAGAUGCAGAGAGGCCGUGGUCAUUGUCGGUGAAUUUUCGCCAUGCAUUUGAACGAACUCGUCUUAGGGAAUUUCUGGGAUCUGCUUCAAAAUUGGUCAGUACAGUCACAAAAUGGUGCUGAAUAAACGCUGUUCAUUUUUUCACUGUGCGUUGAAGGGCGUGUCCGUGGCGUGCCGUCAAAGUUGGCCAUUUUGAACGAAUGUCACACUGUGAUGUCAUUUUUGGCAUUUCAGGGCUUCUAUUUUAACUAACUCCUCCUACAGGUUCUAUUGGAUCUACUUCAAAAUUGGUCAGUGCAGUCAGUUUUUUUCGUCCAACAUUGUGCCCGUGGCGUGGCGUCCCGUGGCAUCCAAUUUCAAACCUUCGCCAUGAAAGAGGGAUUCGUCAUAACUUCUGCGUACAUGAUCCGACUGCAACGAAACUUCACAUGUUCGAUAAGAGUCCCGCCCUGAACAUGUCUAUGCCAUAAUAUUCGGUAAUAGUCAGAGCGCCACCUAGUGGCAACAGGAAGUAAGUGCUGCGUGGCGAUUUUGAGCUGAUUUACGUGAGAUUUUCAUGUCGUGGUCCGCACGUGUUACGACGGCAUUUUCAAUUGUGAUGCGGAUGUGAUGUGAUACCCAAUGUAAUUAUAACAUUGGUUCCUGUUCUAAUGUGCCUUACCUCCUAAUAAAAAUAUAAAAAAUAAAAUAAAAAAAAGAAAUGAUUGAAGCAUAUCAUGUCUCUAACAGCUCUUCCAUCUCGUGCAUCAGCAGGGGGGUCAGGAGUAUUAUCUAGAUCUUUGGGGGAAAGAGUAGGACAUUGUUUAAUUCAGAUUCAAUUUAAUUAAUUUAGAACGCUGCAGCACGAGUACUGACAGGAACUAGAAAAAGAGAUCACAUCUCUCCUGUACUAGCUUCUCUGCAUUGGCUCCCUGUAAAAUGUAGAAUUGAAUUUAAAAUCCUCCUCCUCACCUAUAAAGCUCUUCAUGGUCAGGCCCCUUCAUAUCUUAAAGAGCUCAUAGUACCCUAUUACCCCUCUAGAACACUACGUUCUCUGAAUGCUGGGCUACUUGUGGUUCCUAUAGUCUCUAAAAGUAGAACAGGAGCCAGAGCCUUCAGUUACCAAGCUCCUCUCUUGUGGAACCAGCUUCCAUUUGUGGUUCGGGAGGCAGACACCCUCACCACAUUCAAGAGUAGACUUAAGACAUUCCUCUUUGAUAAAGCUUAUAGUUAGGGCUGGAUCAGGUGAGUCCUGAACCAUCCCUUAGUUAUGCUGCUAUAGGCCUAGACUAUCAGGGGAUUUCCUAUGGUGCACUGAGCUCCUCCCUUCCUCUCUCUUUCUGCACUCAUUCAUGUCCCAUUAAUGCAUGUUACUAACUUCACUUCUUCCCCAGAGUUCUUGUGCUUUCUCGUCUCGCAGGUUCUUAUCGAUCCUGGUGGAGCCUCCUGCCAUGGUCCUGCUAGAUUGCCGUUGCCAAUACUGUUGUUGCUGUGCACCUGUCUGUCUGUCUGUCUGUCUGCCUGUCUGUCUGUCUGUCUGUCUGUCUCUCGCUCUCUCUCUCUCUCUCUCACCCCAACUGGUCGAGACAGACGACCACCCACCUAGAGCCGGAGGAUCUGUCCUAGGUUUCUGCCUUUUAACAGGCAGUUUUUCCUUGCCCUUGUCACCAAGUGCUUGCUCGUGGUGGUACUGUUGGGUCUCUGUAAUUAAUGUUUUAAAGAGUUCAGUCUAGACCUGCUCUAUUUGAAAAGUGUCCUGAGAUAACUUUUGGUAUGAAUUGGCGCUAUACAAAUAAAAUUGAAUUGAAUUGAA